AUUGAACGCUGGCGGCAGGCCUAACACAUGCAAGUCGAGCGCGCGGCGGACGGGUGAGUAAUGUAUGGGGCUCUGCCCUAUAGAUGGGUAUAACUACUGGAAACGGUGUCUAAUCCCGCAUUCUCUCGGCUGCCCCCAUAUGGGAUUCGCUAGUAGGUGGGGUAAAGGCUCACCUAGGCGACGAUCUCUAGCUGGUCUGAGAGGAUGCUCAGCCACACGGGGACUGAGACACGGCCCAGACUCCUACGGGAGGCAGCAGUGGGGAAGAUUGCACAAUGGGGGAAAGCCUGAUGCAGCCAUGCCGCGUGUAUGAAGAAGGCCUUAGGGUUGUAAAGUACUUUCAGUGGGGAGGCGUUACCCGCAGAAGAAGCACCGGCUAACUCCGUGCCAGCAGCCGCGGUAAUAC
rnacentral:rRNA from 1 species